rnacentral:rRNA from 1 species
GAUGAACGCUAGCGGCAGGCCUAACACAUGCAAGUCGAGGGGCAGCACAGAAACAGCAAUGUUUUGGUGGCGACCGGCGGACGGGUGCGUAACGCGUAUGCAACCUACCUUUAACAGGGGGAUAACGGAGAGAAAUUUCCACUAAUACCCCAUAACAUCGAUCAAGGAAUCUUGAUUGGUUGAAAACUCCGGUGGUUAAAGAUGGGCAUGCGUUGUAUUAGGUAGUUGGUGAGGGAAUGGCUCACCAAGCCUACGAUACAAAGGGUGACUGAGCGGUUAGCCCGCCACACUGGUAGUGAGACACGGACCAGACUCCGACGGGAGGCAGCUGUGAGGAAUAUUGGUCAAUUGGGGCAACCAUGAACCAGCCAUGCCGGGUGCAGGAAGACGGCUCUAUGAGUUGUAAACUGCUUUUAAACAGGGAUAAAGCACAGUAUGUAUACUGUGUUGAAGGUACUGUAAGAAUAAGGAUCGGCUAACUCCGUGCCAGCCGCCGCCGUAA